rnacentral:rRNA from 1 species
AGUGAACGCUGGCGGUAGGCCUAACACAUGCAAGUCGAACGGCAGCACAGUAAGAGCUUGCUCUUACGGGUGGCGAGUGGCGGACGGGUGAGUAAUACAUCGGAAUCUACUUUUUCGUGGGGGAUAACGUAGGGAAACUUACGCUAAUACCGCAUACGGCCUACGGGUGAAAGCAGGGGAUCUUCGGACCUUGCGCGAUUGAAUGAGCCGAUGUCGGAUUAGCUAGUUGGCGGGGUAAAGGCCCACCAAGGCGACGAUCCGUAGCUGGUCUGAGAGGAUGAUCAGCCACACUGGAACUGAGACACGGUCCAGACUCCUACGGGAGGCAGCAGUGGGGAAUAUUGGACAAUGGGCGCAAGCCUGAUCCAGCCAUACCGCGUGGGUGAAGAAGGCCUUCGGGUUGUAAAGCCCUUUUGUUGGGAAAGAAAAGCAGCAGGUUAAUACCCCGCUGUUCUGACGGUACCCAAAGAAUAAGCACCGGCUAACUUCGUG